rnacentral:rRNA from 1 species
GACGUAGGGCGCGAGCGUUGUCCGGAUUUAUUGGGCGUAAAGAGCUCGUAGGCGGCUUGUUGCGUCGACCGUGAAAACCCGCGGCUUAACUGCGGGCUUGCGGUUGAUACGGGCGGGCUAGAGUUCGGUAGGGGAGACUGGAAUUCCUGGUGUAGCGGUGAAAUGCGCAGAUAUCAGGAGGAACACCGGUGGCGAAGGCGGGUCUCUGGGCCGAUACUGACGCUGAGGAGCGAAAGCGUGGGGAGCGAACAGG